AAUGGGGGAAACCCUGAUGCAGUGAUGCCGCGUAUAGGAAGAAGGUUUUCGGAUUGUAAACUAUUGUCGACAGGGAAGAUGAAAAGACGGUACCUGUGGAGGAAGCCCCGGCUAACUACGUGCCAGCAGCCGCGGUAAUACGUAGGGGGCGAGCGUUGUCCGGAAUUAUUGGGUGUAAAGGGUGCGUAGACGGGUUGUUAAGUUAGUUGUGAAAUCCCCAGGCUCAACCUGGGAACUGCAACUAAAACUGGCAAUCUUGAGUAUGGGAGAGGAAAGUGGAAUUCCUAGUGUAGCGGUGAAAUGCGUAGAGAUUAGGAGGAACACCAGUGGCGAAGGCGACUUUCUGGACCAAAACUGACGUUGAGGCACGAAAGUGUGGGGAGCAAA
rnacentral:rRNA from 1 species